AGUGAACGCUGGCGGUAGGCCUAACACAUGCAAGUCGAACGGCAGCACAGUAAGAGCUUGCUCUUACGGGUGGCGAGUGGCGGACGGGUGAGGAAUACAUCGGAAUCUACUUUUUCGUGGGGGAUAACGUAGGGAAACUUACGCUAAUACCGCAUACGACCUACGGGUGAAAGCAGGGGAUCCUCGGACCUUGCGCGAUUGAAUGAGCCGAUGUCGGAUUAGCUAGUUGGCGGGGUAAAGGCCCACCAAGGCGACGAUCCGUAGCUGGUCUGAGAGGGUGAUCAGCCACACUGGAACUGAGACACGGUCCAGACUCCUACGGGAGGCAGCAGUGGGGAAUAUUGGACAAUGGGCGCAAGCCUGACGCAGCCAUGCCGCGUGGGUGAAGAAGGCCUUCGGGUUGUAAAGCCCUUUUGUUGGGAAAGAAAAGCAGCAGGUUAAUACCCCGCUGUUCUGACGGUACCCAAAGAAUAAGCACCGGCUAACUUCGUG
rnacentral:rRNA from 1 species